UGCUAUUCGCCCGGGUACUACAAGCACUAGCUUAAAACCCAAAGGACUUGGCGGUGCUUAAGACCCCCCUAGAGGAGCCUGUUCUAGAACCGAUAACCCCCGUUAAACCUCACCUUCCUUUGUUAAUCCCGUCUAUAUACCGCCGUCGUCAGCUUACCCCUUGAGGGCUUUAAAGUGAGCAGAAUCAGCAGACCCCAAAACGUCAGGUCGAGGUGUAGCGAAUAGGAAGGGCAGAAAUGGGCUACAUUCCUUAACUGUAAGGAAAACGAAUUAUGUAAUGAAACGCACAUAUGAAGGAGGAUUUAGCAGUAAGCAGAAAAUAGAGAGUUCUACUGAAGCCGGCCCUAAAGCGCGCACACACCGCCCGUCACUCUCCUCUAGCCUAUUAAGUACCUUAAUUUAAAAAAUUAGAUUGAUGAAGGGGAGACAAGUCGUAACAUGGUAAGUGUACCGGAAGGUGCACUUGGGAAAAC
rnacentral:rRNA from 1 species